rnacentral:rRNA from 1 species
UACGGAGGGUGCGAGCGUUGUCCGGAAUCACUGGGCGUAAAGGGCGCGUAGGCGGCGCGGAUAGUCGGCGGUGAAAGCCCGGAGCUCAACUCCGGGUCGGCCGUCGAUACUUCCGGGCUUGAGCACUGUAGAGGCAGAUGGAAUUCCGGGUGUAGCGGUGGAAUGCGCAGAUAUCAGGAAGAACACCCGUGGCUAAGGCGGCUCUCUAGUACGGUACUGACGCUGAGACGCGAAAGCGUGGGGAGCGAACAGG